rnacentral:rRNA from 1 species
CUGGUAGUCCACGCUGUAAACGAUGUCGACUUGGAGGUUGUGCCCUUGAGGCGUGGCUUCCGGAGCUAACGCGUUAAGUCGACCGCCUGGGGAGUACGGCCGCAAGGUUAAAACUCAAAUGAAUUGACGGGGGCCCGCACAAGCGGUGGAGCAUGUGGUUUAAUUCGAUGCAACGCGAAGAACCUUACCUACUCUUGACAUCCAGAGAAUUCGCUAGAGAUAGCUUAGUGCCUUCGGGAACUCUGAGACAGGUGCUGCAUGGCUGUCGUCAGCUCGUGUUGUGAAAUGUUGGGUUAAGUCCCGCAACGAGCGCAACCCUUAUCCUUUGUUGCCAGCACGUAAUGGUGGGAACUCAAAGGAGACUGCCGGUGAUAAACCGGAGGAAGGUGGGGAUGACGUCAAGUCAUCAUGGCCCUUACGAGUAGGGCUACACACGUGCUACAAUGGCGUAUACAAAGAGAAGCGAACUCGCGAGAGCAAGCGGACCUCAUAAAGUACGUCGUAGUCCGGAUCGGAGUCUGCAACUCGACUCCGUGAAGUCGGAAUCGCUAGUAAUCGUAGAUCAGAAGCUACGGUAAAUCCCCC